rnacentral:rRNA from 1 species
GAGCGAAAUUUAGUAGCGAUGUAGCGGAGUUCAAAAUGUCAAGAAAAGACUCUAUCGAGGUUAAAGGAACCAGUAGCGCAAACCGAAACAGGUGGGGGAGGAAAGUAUCCUAAUGCUAGCUUGAGAACGGAUGUUAUAGAAGUCGGCAAAAUAAUGCCGUAAGUUAGUGAUAAGGGGUGCCACUAUCAGUUGGUUGUAGAGAAUAGACCCAAGCGACUGUUUACCUAAAACAUAGGUUUCUGCUAAGACGCAAUACGAUGUAUAUGUGCUGUCGCCUGACCGGUGCUGGAUAGGUAAGGGUAUCUGUUAGAGCAAUUGAAGCAGUGUACUUAAGCC